GCUGUGACUAAGCCGACGCUGCUGAGGAGGAAAGCCUAAUCAGUCAUCCGCGUUCCGUCUCAUUCACUGAGCAGAAUGUGUUACGUAAAGUCACAAACAUUUGAAUUAUCCUCAUCUCGGUGGUUCGCUCUUUGGUUUCGGAUCAAACUGGGCAGGAGGUUUGUUUGUUCCUUGACAGCGUUCUGCGCCGCGCGGAUACUUGGAGAUUCUUCCUUCGCAUUCGCACAAGCGUGCAACAUGAAAAUUGUAGAAACAAAGGGGUGAGAAAAGAUGACGCGACCCCCGUGAACUUCAUCUUCCAACCGUCCAAAGAAAGACGAACGCGUUUUCUGAGGCAUAAUUGCAACCAGACGGCGGCUCAUUUCAACAGCAUGUCCGCUCUUUAUUUAAAACGAGCUCCAGUCCGUCCAUUUUAAAUGGGGCAAACGGAGCAGAGUGCGAUUCAAGCCUUUCGCCUCGGCAGAGCGGCUGUUUGGGCAGAUAUUAGCUCCUUUUAGUACGCUGACCACUCCACCAAAACCCGAUGAUACAAAAGUCUGAAAAUUGGAUAUGGUCACUGGGGAAUAAGGGGACGGGAGGAAAUCAGAAUUACUCCUCAUUUGUGUGUGAUUUACAUUUUUUCAAUUGGUCUUUUGAAAAAGACCAGCGCUGGACUCAAAUAAGAAGAUUAAAAAGCAAAUACAGUUUUGUCAAACCAGGCGGCUCGGGUGAGAGCCGUUCAGUUUCACGUCAGCUUUAAGUCGGAGAUUUGCUGUCAGGUUGCUACUGUAGCUUACUGGGGGAUUUAAGUGGCUUUUUGGCAAGGGCCCUUUUAACAAAACGCGCUGUGCGUUAUUUCAACAUUAAAGUGGGAGAUGUGAGGAAAAGAAAGUGGGAUCGGAACAUUAUUCUUGGGUCAUCGCGUAUAUGUUUUACCCUGUAAUACAUCCUCUAAAACCAGGAAAACACAACACUUUGCCGUAUUCAAGAUCUAGUUUAAAACGUAGUAACACAACAGAUGGUGUGUAAAUAUUUGUACCAGCUCUGUGGCAACAUUCACGCCAACCCGUGUUUUCAGCAGCUUUAAAUGUGAUAAAUAAUUCAGCUGGAAAAACAUCGAGGACGGACAAGUUCCAUUUUCACUGAUUUCACUACAAACCCAGCCGAGGCCAACGGGUGUUUUCUGUUCAUCUCACUGGAUGAGACAAAUAGAUCGUGAACUUCAGGCCGACUCGCCUGCUGUGUCCACUCGCCCGGCAAGCAGCAGUGCUGUCUUUAUCAAUCUCCACGUGUUUACAAUGUCCGCGCUCUGGACCUUCUGCAGGGGAAGGCCAGUCGGAUGGAUCCACAGCUCAGGGCAGCCGUGCUGAAGGCGGUCGGGGACCGGACUACCCAGUCGUCCGGUCGUCAGCUGACCCACGUCCCUCAAGUCAAUUUCCCGCCAUGAGCUCCGGUCUCACCGAAUCCCAAUGAGUUGACAAACGGCGAGACCGACCUGUGAGGUCUCUUGCAAAUCAGCCUGUUAUCAGAUGAGCAUGAUUUGCACGCGUUAUGGUGUCCCUGAAUUUUUUAUUGAUGCUGUCAAGUAAGACGACUUUGCAGUGCAUGUUUGUGCAAAGUGCUUCCUGUUCGUUUUGCUUUGAAAGCUUUAUUUAGUGUGUCACUUGAGGCAUGAAGACAAAAUUCUGCCUUGAGUCAGGACAUCUGUCUUACACAACAAAACAGAUAUUCCAUGUUUUUUAAAGGGCUUUGGUGAGAAGGAGAAAAAUACAAAAGCUCAUAAGUAAAUAUAGCGCAGGCAGGAGAUAAGUGCCGGGGCAGAUACGAGUCUUACCACGAGUUCUACCGAGGUAAAUCGAAAACAAACUUUAGCGGAGAUCCUUUCUUUCCUGCCGCUGCGUCGUGAUGGCAAAGCUCCGAUAGGCGGUUGACAGCUGAAGACAUUCUGGCUUUGUUUGUUUCUGCAAAGCCACCAUGUUACAUGAAUUGUUUUCCCUCCGCACAGAUUUCUGUGGAUGGCGGUUCCAUCUGAUGGCGGUUCCAUCUGAUGGUUCCAUUCAUAGGCGGUUCCAUCUGAUGGCGGUUCUAUCUUAAGGUUCCAUCUUUAGGCGGUUCCAUCUGAUGGUUCCAUGUUAGGAUUACAUUUGUAGGCGGUUCCAUCUUAAGGUUACAUUCAUAGGCGGUUCCAUCUGAUGGUUCCAUCUUAAGGUUACACUCAUAGGCGGUUCCAUUUUAAGAUUACAUCUGAUGGCGGUUCCAUCUAAUGGUUCCAUCCUAAGGUUCCAUUUGUAGGCGGUUCCAUCUGAUGGUUCCAUCUCAAGGUUCCUUUCAUAGGCGGUUCCAUCUUAAGAUUCCAUCUGAUGGCGGUUCCAUCUAAUGGUUCCAUUCAUAGGCGGUUCCAUCUUAAGAUUCCAUCUGAUGGUGGUUCCAUUCAUAGGCGGUUCCAUCUUAAGAUUCCAUCUGAUGGCGGUUCCAUCUGAUGGUUCCAUCUUAAGGUUCCAUUUGUAGGCGGUUACAUCUGAUGGUUCCAUCUUAAGAUGGAACCUUAACGUUCUAUUUGUAGGUGGUUCCAUCUGAUGGCGGUUCCAUCAGAUGGAACCUGGCCUGGCGUCACUACUGGUCCUGGCGCUCACUAUUGUCAGUAUGUGAAUCCUUCUUGUCGUAUGAAUAAAACGUUCCGUACAUCUUCCACGUGGUUCCUUCGGUACUCAUGACAUCCAUUGCAUUCUGUCCGUCCGGGGAGAGGGAUCCCUCCUCUGCCGCUCGCCCUCGCGUGUCUUCCCUUUCUUGGGGGAAGUUUUGCUCCUCCGCCGAUGUGGCAAAUUCGUAAUUCUGGGCCGAACCAAAUCAAAUAGAUGUAAUAGAAUCCGCUCCGUAUCCGGUUUGCAGAGAUGAUUCACAAGUGGCGAGCGGCAUGACAGCGUAUGUGCAGGCGACACGGAACCCCGUUGAGGAAAGGAAGGCGUGUCUUCCUGUAUGGAGGUCGUCAAAAUGUGAAAGACGGCGCGGCGUUGACGUCACGUGGUUUGUGUUUUCAACAGGGCUUAAUUGGCCCCACUUCAGAGGGACAAUGAUCCAAAGCCAAAGUUGCUUCUGAAGAUUAUAAACUGUGCGCUUGCCAUCCAGCAGACGUAAUUGGGUGCUUAAAAAGUUAAUAACUUUUGAAUAAAAGUGCUCGUCAGCUUUUUAGCACAUCACAUGUAAUCUGUGACCGGGGCUCCACGAGCACGCAUGCUAAUGACGACCAAAGGGAUUUAAUUAAACGAUUUUCCUCCCCUUACAGUUUAUUCCACUUCAAGUUUAGAAUGCAUUCCAACUUAAUUUCACAGGCGAUAUGAUUUGAAUAAUGCCUUGGCAUAAGCCAGUUUGAAUUUAAUUAAGAUAACUGUUUGUCUUCCCAAAUCAACCCACGCUCUUAGUUCAAGAUGUGUUUUGCCAUCGUGAAAGAGCAAACAGAGGAGCAUGGCCUUAGGUUACAAACUCAGGUCUGUAGUUGAGAAGGUGUCAGGAAACUUAAAUCUUGAUCCUCCCCUCGGCGAUAAUUCCAUAAUUGCAUAUUUUAGUACAAAAAAAACCUUUUAACAACUUUGAAAUUCACUAAAAAUGGGUGUUUUUUAAAUACCAUUUCUAUAAUAAACCAAAUACUAUUUAAGUACUUCAUUUGUACGUUAUUUUCAGGUGAUGUUUUAAAGAAUUUCCACACCAUGUUCCACUUUCUGCGCCGUGUUGGAUCGGUCUGCGUUGUGUGACUCAUCUGGUGUCGCACGCUGCACUAUGGAAAUAAAAAGCCAUUAUAAACGUAUCACACUGCUAAAUAUGACUGGUGCGGCUGCGCGUAGUAGAACGACAUAUUCCAUCAACCUCCGCACAAUACUCCACCUUUUCAUUUCCACAAAAACAAACAUUAAGUUGCGGUGAUGGGUCAGCAGAAUUAUGCUUUAGAGCGUACCUGGGAAAAGGCAAAUUCAAUUGCUCGGUUUGUGUGCAGCGGCGCCCAUCCCGAUGACAAACUGCCCUCAGGGGAAGUUCCACUGCAGAAUAAUUGAGUAUUAAAAAUCUAAAAUCAGAUCUCUCAAAAAUGAAAGUAGUUUUUUCUCCGUGUGUGUGUGUGUGUGUGUGUGUGUGUGUGUACGGUGAUGUGGCAGCUGUAAGUAAUUGAAAGGCGAUCCAAGGCCAUCGCGUCUAAUGCCUUUUAUAAAGUUGUAAACCAGGGUCAUUAUUUAAACACGACCACAGAGGAGAGCGCGUGGAAGCGCGUGGUUUGCGUCACGCUGGACCGAACCGCGGAGCAGAAAAGCGUCUCACGCGGCACCGACGAAAAGGUACAACGGCGAGCUGCGCUAAAUCAAGAGCUGUCGUAUGCGAUGCAACUUCCUGCACAGCGUCCAAUGGAAGCGCCCCCCCCCCUCCCCCUCCCCCCGCCCCCGAAGGCCCGUUAACGCGCCCGCGACAGGCCUCCUUGUCACCUGCGUGACAAAGCCGCACCGCAACGACAAACAGGGCCGCCGCUUUGUUCCGUAUUCAUCGGGCCGAUAAACAGCAGUAAUCACAGUAAUGAUGUCUGUUCGAGGGCGCUGGGGAGCUACGUUGGGGGGGCGGAUAAGGGGCAUGUGCAGGAGGGUUCGGGGAGGAGAAGGGUGUUGUUAAUCUGAGAGGCUUGUGUGGAGUUUAGAGGGAGGUGGGGGAGGAAGGGGGACACGGCUGCUCACGCCGAGAUAAGCCAGGACCAGCGCCGCCCCGGCCCGGUAAGGCUGGCCUCGCCGCUCCCUUCCCGGGCCAGGGUAUUGGCCUGCGUGCGAUAAGAUGCUCCCGAGCAUUGCAAAAUAGCACAGGUAUUAGCC
ensembl:lncRNA